rnacentral:lncRNA from 1 species
ACGGGGUCAAACACUGUUGCCCAGGCUGGAGUGCAGUGACGCAAUCCUAACUGACUGUAACCUCAAACUCCUGGACUCAAGCCAUCUCCCUACCUUGGCCACCCAAAGUGGUAGAAUUACAGAGGAAGGCUGAGGCAGGAGGAUUGCUUAAACGCAGGAGUCUGCAGCUGCAAUGAACUGUGAUCCCACUACUGCAUUCCAGCCUGGGUGGACAGAACAAGGCCCUGUCUCUAUUUUAAAAUAAUAAUAACACAAAAAUGCCCCUCCCCCAUUUUUUUUUAAAGUUCAGUAUGUAACAAGUUCUAUACUGGAUCCUUUCUUUCUCUAAUAAUCCUCAAGAAAUCCUUACAGGUAAGUAUUGCUUCCGCCACUGCAGAGGCGAAAGCCAGUGCUUUGGUAAAGGUCCUAGUCUUUCUGGCUUUAACACAGAAAGUCUUAAUACCAUUUGGAUUAAAGAUUCACAAGUUAGGCCGGGCGCGGUGGCUCAUGCCUGUAAUCCCAGCACUUUGGGAGGCCGAGACAGGCAGAUCACGAGGUCAGGAGAUCGAGACCAUCCUGGCUAACACGGUGAAACCCUGUCUCUACUAAAAAUACAAAAAACUAGCCAGCCUGGUGGCGGGCGCCUGUAGUCCCAGCUACUUGGAAGGCUGAGGCAGGAGAAUGGCGUGAACCCGGGAGGCAGAGCUUGCAGUGAGCCAAGAUCACGCCACUGCAUUCCAGCCUGGACGACAGAGCGAGACUCCGUCUC